AGAGGACUGACUGCAGUGGAUCAGAAUGGAUUAGAAAAGGCAGGGACAAAAGCGCGGGCUUCAAGUUCAUCUUGGCAAGAGGUGUUGGUGGCCUGAAGGAGCAGUGAGAAUGGAGAAUGGUGGAUGGAAUCCAGAUAUUUUGGGAAGUAGAAUAUAUAGGACUUGGUUUUUGCCUGGAUGUAGGGAGGAAGAGAGGGAGAGGUAAAAACAAAUUCUGAAUUCUCAGAAUUCUGGUUUGGGCAGCUGUGGGUUUCUUCAUUGACAGAAGAAACACAAGAGCAGGUUUUGGGGCUGGUGUCUGUGGAAAAUGCGUUCACUUUAGGACAUACUGAGCCUGAAGUUCAGCUGAUGAAAGGAGCAGCUUGAGAAGGCCUUCACUGUGGAAUUUGGCUUAUGAGAUUUGAUACAUGCUCACUGCAAAAAUGAAAUUAAAAUCUAGAAGUGUGUAAUAGAAGAAGUAAGUCCUCACUCUCAUCUUAUAACGCAGGCCCUCCAGGACCAGUUCAACUGACCCCAUCUCUUAUCAACAGAGUGAUUAAGAAUUGCCUUUCAUCUCCUGCUGGACACUGGCCCAGCCUUGCCAUGUUAAAAAGAAAUCCAAAAUGAAAAAAAAUGAGAAUUGCCUUUCAGAAAAUCUGCAGAAUCAUGUAGCCAGGGCACACACAAAAGAAGAAACGUGACCUGCAACUACCGUGGAAACAAAGAUCCUCCUUCCCACAGAACCCAAGGACUGGGACACGACCGGAACUUGGCAAUGGACUCUUAUCAGAAGCGAGGGAUCCCUCAUUCAGAAGAUCUGGUGUUAAAAUUCCUUCCCCACCUCAUCAAAAAUGUUUAGAACCCUGUUAGAAAUAUUUAGAACCUCAUCAUAAAGGCUUGAAGCCCACCGGUCAAAGCCUGUCCCACCAGCAUUUCUGCAUGCCAACCUGUCUGUCCUCCAUAACCUUUUAAAUUUUGCCCCAAAUCCUGAAUUGGGGAGACAGAUCUGAGGGCACAUGCCCCCUGUUCUCCCUGCAGAUCAAUUUCGCACAGUAAAACUGACCUCUUUCCCCAAAGGCUGAUGCUGUAAUUAAUCAGUUUGUUUAUGUGCAUCGGGCAGUGAACCCCAACUUUGUGCGGUAACAGUCUC
rnacentral:lncRNA from 1 species